rnacentral:rRNA from 1 species
GAACGGGUGAGUAACACGUGGGUGAUCUGCCCUGCACUUUGGGAUAAGCCUGGGAAACUGGGUCUAAUACCGAAUAUGACCACGCUCUUCAUGGGGUGUGGUGGAAAGCUUUUGCGGUGUGGGAUGGGCCCGCGGCCUAUCAGCUUGUUGGUGGGGUAAUGGCCUACCAAGGCGACGACGGGUAGCCGGCCUGAGAGGGUGACCGGCCACACUGGGACUGAGAUACGGCCCAGACUCCUACGGGAGGCAGCAGUGGGGAAUAUUGCACAAUGGGCGCAAGCCUGAUGCAGCGACGCCGCGUGAGGGAUGACGGCCUUCGGGUUGUAAACCUCUUUCACCAGGGACGAAGCGCAAGUGACGGUACCUGGAGAAGAAGCACCGGCCAACUACGUGCCAGCAGCCGCGGUAAUACGUAGGGUGCGAGCGUUGUCCGGAAUUACUGGGCGUAAAGAGCUCGUAGGUGGUUUGUCGCGUUGUUCGUGAAAACUCACAGCUUAACUGUGGGCGUGCGGGCGAUACGGGCAGACUAGAGUACUGCAGGGGAGACUGGAAUUCCUGGUGUAGCGGUGGAAUGCGCAGAUAUCAGGAGGAACACCGGUGGCGAAGGCGGGUCUCUGGGCAGUAACUGACGCUGAGGAGCGAAAGCGUGGGGAGCGAACAGGAUUAGAUACCCUGGUAGUCC